UAACUCUGGUUUCUCUUCAAAUCGUAUAAAUCUUUCGCCUUUUACUAAAGAUUUCCGUGGAGAGGAACAGUAUUGAGUUUUAACUCAAUUUUCUUUCACAAACAUUUAAAUAAGAUGUA